AAGUUUAUUAAAAAUUAACAAAUUUUUAAGAUUCUUUUCGGUUAUCCGAUAUCUACAUAAAAAAUAUCCGUUUUUAUUUUUUGGGUAUUUUUAGGGCUUCAAACUCUUUACCCAAACCGACCUAAACCCGGAUGUAUUGGAACCGAAGAUGUUUUUUUUUACUGUAUUAAGUAGUAAAUCCAUUACCUAUUUAAUCUGAACCGGAACGGGUUACCAAUAUGCCCAACCCUAAUUAAGAUUUCGCGAAUCCGAAUCUGCUGCCGAACUUAAAUUCCCUUUUGUU
rnacentral:sRNA from 1 species